rnacentral:rRNA from 1 species
GGGGGCACGUUGGUCGGAAUAUUGGGCGUAAGAGCUCGUAGGCGGUUUGUCGCGUCUGCUGUGAAAGCCCGGGGCUUAACCCCGGGUGUGCAGUGGGUACGGGCAGACUUGAGUGCAGUAGGGGAGACUGGAACUCCUGGUGUAGCGGUGAAAUGCGCAGAUAUCAGGAAGAACACCGAUGGCGAAGGCAGGUCUCUGGGCUGUUACUGACGCUGAGGAGCGAAAGCAUGGGGAGCGAACAGGAUUAGAUACCCUGGUAGUCCAUGCCGUAAACGUUGGGCACUAGGUGUGGGGGACAUUCCACGUUUUCCGCGCCGUAGCUAACGCAUUAAGUGCCCCGCCUGGGGAGUACGGCCGCAAGGCUAAAACUCAAAGGAAUUGACGGGGGCCCGCACAAGCGGCGGAGCAUGCGGAUUAAUUCGAUGCAACGCGAAGAACCUUACCAAGGCUUGACAUACACCGGAUCGGCUCAGAGAUGGGUUUUCCUCCUUGUGGGGCUGGUGUACAGGUGGUGCAUGGUUGUCGUCAGCUCGUGUCGUGAGAUGUUGGGUUAAGUCCCGCAACGAGCGCAACCCUCGUUCUAUGUUGCCAGCACGUGAUGGUGGGGACUCAUAGGAGACUGCCGGGGUCAACUCGGAGGAAGGUGGGGAUGACGUCAAAUCAUCAUGCCCCUUAUGUCUUGGGCUUCACGCAUGCUACAAUGGCCAGUACAAUGGGUUGCGAUACCGUGAGGUGGAGCUAAUCCCAAAAAGCUGGUCUCAGUUCGGAUCGUGGUCUGCAACUCGACCACGUGAAGUCGGAGUCGCUAGUAAUCGCAGAUCAGCAACGCUGCGGUGAAUACGUUCCCGGGCCUUGUACACACCGCCCGUCAAGUCACGAAAGUUGGUAACACCCGAAGCCGGUGGCCUAACCCUUGUGGGGGGAGCCGUCGAAGGUGGGACUGGCGAUUG